UACAGAGGGUGCAAGCGUUGUUCGGAAUUAUUGGGCGUAAAGCGCGUGUAGGCGGCUUUGCAAGUCGGGUGUGAAAUCCCUCAGCUUAACUGAGGAAGUGCGCCCGAAACUGCCGAGCUUGAGUGCCGGAGAGGAUGGCGGAAUUCCCCAAGUAGAGGUGAAAUUCGUAGAUAUGGGGAGGAACACCGGUGGCGAAGGCGGCCAUCUGGACGGUGACUGACGCUGAGGUGCGAAAGCGUGGGGAGCAAACAGG
rnacentral:rRNA from 1 species